AGAAUAUGGACUAACUUUCAACUGGAG
rnacentral:sRNA from 1 species